UACGAAGGGGGCAAGCGUUGUUCGGAAUUAUUGGGCGUAGAGGGCGCGUAGGCGGACCUGUAAGUCGGUUGUGAAAUCCCUGGGCUUAACCCGGGAACUGCAGUCGAAACUGCAAGUCUUGAAUGCUCGAGAGGAUGGUAGAAUUCCUGGUGUAGAGGCGAAAUUCGUAGAUGUCAGGAGGAAUACCGGAGGCGAAAGCGGCCAUCUGGCGAGACAUUGACGCUGAGGCGCGAAAGCGUGGGGAUCAAACAGG
rnacentral:rRNA from 1 species